rnacentral:rRNA from 1 species
GUUUAAGCCGCCGCGGUAAUACGGGGGGAGCAAGCGUUGUUCGGAUUUACUGGGCGUAAAGGGCGCGUAGGCGGUCAGCACAAGUCAGUUGUGAAAUCUCCGGGCUUAACUCGGAAAGGUCAACUGAUACUGUGCGACUAGAGUGCAGAAGGGGCAACUGGAAUUCUCGGUGUAGCGGUGAAAUGCGUAGAUAUCGAGAGGAACACCUGCGGCGAAGGCGGGUUGCUGGGCUGACACUGACGCUGAGGCGCGAAAGCCAGGGGAGCGAACGGGAUUAGAUACCCGGGUAGUCC